ACAGCAGGACAGUCUGUCGCUCGUGGAAACGCGAGAGGAAAGUCCGGGCAACACAGGGCACCAUAUUUCUUAACGGGAAGCUGUCUGUAAAGGCAGAGUAGCGUAACAGAAAAUAACCGCUGCUUCGGCAGCAAGGGUGAAAAGGUGAGGUAAGAGCUCACCGGUCUUUGUGGCGACACAGAGAGCCGUACGUCUUAUGGGUUGCAAGGUUAUGUACACCGGCGCUAUCAGGGCUGCUCGUCCGAUGCCGGGGGGUAAACCGCUUGAUCUUUAUGGCAACAUAAAGGCCAGAUAAAUGACAGACGCUUUCUCUCGGGAAAGUACAGAACCCGGCUUAUCGUCCUGCUGUUUUU
rfam:Bacteroides sp. CAG:144 genomic scaffold, scf216